rnacentral:rRNA from 1 species
CAGCGCCUCAACACAUGCAAGUCGCAACGAGACCUUCGGGUCUAGUGGCGCACGGGUGCGUAACGCGUGGGAACCUGCCUUUAGGUUCGGAAUAACUCAGAGAAAUUUGAGCUAAUACCGGAUGAUGUCUUCGGACCAAAGAUUUAUCGCCUUUAGAUGGGCCCGCGUUGGAUUAGCUAGUUGGUGGGGUAAAGGCCUACCAAGGCGACGAUCCAUAGCUGGUCUGAGAGGAUGAUCAGCCACACUGGGACUGAGACACGGCCCAGACUCCUACGGGAGGCAGCAGUGGGGAAUAUUGGACAAUGGGCGAAAGCCUGAUCCAGCAAUGCCGCGUGAGUUAUGAAGGCCUUAGGGUUGUAAAGCUCUUUUACCCGGGAUGAUAAUGACAGUACCGGGAGAAUAAGCUCCGGCUAACUCCGUGCCAGCAGCCGCGGUAAU